rnacentral:rRNA from 1 species
GCUGGCGGCGUGCUUACACAUGCAAGUCGAACGGAAAGGCCCUUCGGGGUACUCGAGUGGCGAACGGGUGAGUAACACGUGGGUGAUCUGCCCUGCACUUUGGGAUAAGCCUGGGAAACUGGGUCUAAUACCGAAUAUGACCACGCGCUUCAUGGUGUGUGGUGGAAAGCUUUUGCGGUGUGGGAUGGGCCCGCGGCCUAUCAGCUUGUUGGUGGGGUAAUGGCCUACCAAGGCGACGACGGGUAGCCGGCCUGAGAGGGUGACCGGCCACACUGGGACUGAGAUACGGCCCAGACUCCUACGGGAGGCAGCAGUGGGGAAUAUUGCACAAUGGGCGCAAGCCUGAUGCAGCGACGCCGCGUGAGGGAUGACGGCCUUCGGGUUGUAAACCUCUUUCAAUAGGGACGAAGCGCAAGUGACGGUACCUAUAGAAGAAGGACCGGCCAACUACGUGCCAGCAGCCGCGGUAAUACGUAGGGUCCGAGCGUUGUCCGGAAUUACUGGGCGUAAAGAGCUCGUAGGUGGUUUGUCGCGUUGUUCGUGAAAACUCACAGCUUAACUGUGGGCGUGCGGGCGAUACGGGCAGACUAGAGUACUGCAGGGGAGACUGGAAUUCCUGGUGUAGCGGUGGAAUGCGCAGAUAUCAGGAGGAACACCGGUGGCGAAGGCGGGUCUCUGGGCAGUAACUGACGCUGAGGAGCGAAAGCGUGGGGAGCGAACAGGAUUAGAUACCCUGGUAGUCCACGCCGUAAACGGUGGGUACUAGGUGUGGGUUUCCUUCCUUGGGAUCCGUGCCGUAGCUAACGCAUUAAGUACCCCGCCUGGGGAGUACGGCCGCAAGGCUAAAACUCAAAGGAAUUGACGGGGGCCCGCACAAGCGGCGGAGCAUGUGGAUUAAUUCGAUGCAACGCGAAGAACCCUUACCUGGGUUUGACAUGCACAGGGACGACUGCAGAGAUGUGGUUUCCCUUG